GGGUUGUGAGGUUAAGCGACUAAGCGUACACGGUGGAUGCCCUGGCAGUCAGAGGCGAUGAAGGACGUGCUAAUCUGCGAUAAGCGUCGGUAAGGUGAUAUGAACCGUUAUAACCGGCGAUUUCCGAAUGGGGAAACCCAGUGUGUUUCGACACACUAUCAUUAACUGAAUCCAUAGGUUAAUGAGGCGAACCGGGGGAACUGAAACAUCUAAGUACCCGAGGAAAAGAAAUCAACCGAGAUUCCCCCAGUAGCGGCGAGCGAACGGGGAGGAGCCCAGAGCCUGAAUCAGUGUGUGUGUUAGUGGAAGCGUCUGGAAAGGCGCGCGAUACAGGGUGACAGCCCCGUACACAAAAAUGCACAUGCUGUGAGCUCGAUGAGUAGGGCGGGACACGUGGUAUCCUGUCUGAAUAUGGGGGGACCAUCCUCCAAGGCUAAAUACUCCUGACUGACCGAUAGUGAACCAGUACCGUGAGGGAAAGGCGAAAAGAACCCCGGCGAGGGGAGUGAAAAAGAACCUGAAACCGUGUACGUACAAGCAGUGGGAGCACAGAGCAAUCUGUGUGACUGCGUACCUUUUGUAUAAUGGGUCAGCGACUUAUAUUCUGUAGCAAGGUUAACCGAAUAGGGGAGCCGAAGGGAAACCGAGUCUUAACUGGGCGUUAAGUUGCAGGGUAUAGACCCGAAACCCGGUGAUCUAGCCAUGGGCAGGUUGAAGGUUGGGUAACACUAACUGGAGGACCGAACCGACUAAUGUUGAAAAAUUAGCGGAUGACUUGUGGCUGGGGGUGAAAGGCCAAUCAAACCGGGAGAUAGCUGGUUCUCCCCGAAAGCUAUUUAGGUAGCGCCUCGUGAAUUCAUCUCCGGGGGUAGAGCACUGUUUCGGCAAGGGGGUCAUCCCGACUUACCAACCCGAUGCAAACUGCGAAUACCGGAGAAUGUUAUCACGGGAGACACACGGCGGGUGCUAACGUCCGUCGUGAAGAGGGAAACAACCCAGACCGCCAGCUAAGGUCCCAAAGUCAUGGUUAAGUGGGAAACGAUGUGGGAAGGCCCAGACAGCCAGGAUGUUGGCUUAGAAGCAGCCAUCAUUUAAAGAAAGCGUAAUAGCUCACUGGUCGAGUCGGCCUGCGCGGAAGAUGUAACGGGGCUAAACCAUGCACCGAAGCUGCGGCAGCGACACUGUGUGUUGUUGGGUAGGGGAGCGUUCUGUAAGCCUGUGAAGGUGUGCUGUGAGGCAUGCUGGAGGUAUCAGAAGUGCGAAUGCUGACAUAAGUAACGAUAAAGCGGGUGAAAAGCCCGCUCGCCGGAAGACCAAGGGUUCCUGUCCAACGUUAAUCGGGGCAGGGUGAGUCGACCCCUAAGGCGAGGCCGAAAGGCGUAGUCGAUGGGAAACAGGUUAAUAUUCCUGUACUUGGUGUUACUGCGAAGGGGGGACGGAGAAGGCUAUGUUGGCCGGGCGACGGUUGUCCCGGUUUAAGCGUGUAGGCUGGUUUUCCAGGCAAAUCCGGAAAAUCAAGGCUGAGGCGUGAUGACGAGGCACUACGGUGCUGAAGCAACAAAUGCCCUGCUUCCAGGAAAAGCCUCUAAGCAUCAGGUAACAUCAAAUCGUACCCCAAACCGACACAGGUGGUCAGGUAGAGAAUACCAAGGCGCUUGAGAGAACUCGGGUGAAGGAACUAGGCAAAAUGGUGCCGUAACUUCGGGAGAAGGCACGCUGAUAUGUAGGUGAAGUCCCUCGCGGAUGGAGCUGAAAUCAGUCGAAGAUACCAGCUGGCUGCAACUGUUUAUUAAAAACACAGCACUGUGCAAACACGAAAGUGGACGUAUACGGUGUGACGCCUGCCCGGUGCCGGAAGGUUAAUUGAUGGGGUCAGCGCAAGCGAAGCUCUUGAUCGAAGCCCCGGUAAACGGCGGCCGUAACUAUAACGGUCCUAAGGUAGCGAAAUUCCUUGUCGGGUAAGUUCCGACCUGCACGAAUGGCGUAAUGAUGGCCAGGCUGUCUCCACCCGAGACUCAGUGAAAUUGAACUCGCUGUGAAGAUGCAGUGUACCCGCGGCAAGACGGAAAGACCCGUGAACCUUUACUAUAGCUUGACACUGAACAUUGAGCCUUGAUGUGUAGGAUAGGUGGGAGGCUUUGAAGUGUGGACGCCAGUCUGCAUGGAGCCGACCUUGAAAUACCACCCUUUAAUGUUUGAUGUUCUAACGUGGACCCGUGAUCCGGGUUGCGGACAGUGUCUGGUGGGUAGUUUGACUGGGGCGGUCUCCUCCUAAAGAGUAACGGAGGAGCACGAAGGUUGGCUAAUCCUGGUCGGACAUCAGGAGGUUAGUGCAAUGGCAUAAGCCAGCUUGACUGCGAGCGUGACGGCGCGAGCAGGUGCGAAAGCAGGUCAUAGUGAUCCGGUGGUUCUGAAUGGAAGGGCCAUCGCUCAACGGAUAAAAGGUACUCCGGGGAUAACAGGCUGAUACCGCCCAAGAGUUCAUAUCGACGGCGGUGUUUGGCACCUCGAUGUCGGCUCAUCACAUCCUGGGGCUGAAGUAGGUCCCAAGGGUAUGGCUGUUCGCCAUUUAAAGUGGUACGCGAGCUGGGUUUAGAACGUCGUGAGACAGUUCGGUCCCUAUCUGCCGUGGGCGCUGGAGAACUGAGGGGGCUGCUCCUAGUACGAGAGGACCGGAGUGGACGCAUCACUGGUGUUCGGGUUGUCAUGCCAAUGGCACUGCCCGGUAGCUAAAUGCGGAAGAGAUAAGUGCUGAAAGCAUCUAAGCACGAAACUUGCCCCGAGAUGAGUUCUCCCUGACCCUUUAAGGGUCCUGAAGGAACGUUGAAGACGACGACGUUGAUAGGCCGGGUGUGUAAGCGCAGCGAUGCGUUGAGCUAACCGGUACUAAUGAACCGUGAGGCUUAACCUUACAACGCCGAAGGUGUUU
rnacentral:rRNA from 1 species